GAUCCUGGCUCAGAUUGAACGCUGGCGGCAGGCCUAACACAUGCAAGUCGAACGGUAACAGGAAGCAGCUUGCUGCUUUGCUGACGAGUGGCGGACGGGUGAGUAAUGUCUGGGAAACUGCCUGAUGGAGGGGGAUAACUACUGGAAACGGUAGCUAAUACCGCAUAACGUCGCAAGACCAAAGAGGGGGACCUUCGGGCCUCUUGCCAUCGGAUGUGCCCAGAUGGGAUUAGCUGUUGG
rnacentral:rRNA from 1 species